UAAGGAAUAUUGGUCAAUGGACGCAAGUCUGAACCAGCCAUGCCGCGUGAAGGAUGAGGGUCCUCUGGAUUGUAAACUUCUUUUAUCUGGGACGAAAACGGGAUUUUUAUCUCAAUUGACGGUACCAGAGGAAUAAGCACCGGCUAACUCCGUGCCAGCAGCCGCGGUAAUACGGAGGGUGCGAGCGUUAUCCGGAUUUACUGGGUUUAAAGGGUGCGUAGGUGGGCUUAUAAGUCAGUGGUGAAAUCUCCGAGCUUAACUUGGAAACUGCCGUUGAUACUAUAGGUCUUGAAUUAUCUGGAGGUAAGCGGAAUAUGUCAUGUAGCGGUGAAAUGCUUAGAUAUGACAUAGAACACCAAUUGCGAAGGCAGCUUACUACAUAUAAAUUGACGCUGAGGCACGAAAGCGUGGGGAUCAAACA
rnacentral:rRNA from 1 species